UACGAAGGGGGCUAGCGUUGCUCGGAAUCACUGGGCGUAAAGCGCACGUAGGCGGCUUCUUAAGUCAGGGGUGAAAUCCCGAGGCUCAACCUCGGAACUGCCUUUGAUACUGGGGAUCUCGAGUCCGGGAGAGGUGAGUGGAACUGCGAGUGUAGAGGUGAAAUUCGUAGAUAUUCGCAAGAACACCAGUGGCGAAGGCGGCUCACUGGCCCGGAACUGACGCUGAGGUGCGAAAGCGUGGGGAGCAAACAGGG
rnacentral:rRNA from 1 species